GGGCCCGCACAAGUAGUGGAGCAUGUGGUUUAAUUCGAAGAUACGCGCAGAACCUUACCAACACUUGACAUGUUCGUCGCGACUCUGAGAGAUCAGAGUUUUCGGUUCGGCCGGACGAAACACAGGUGCUGCAUGGCUGUCGUCAGCUCGUGUCGUGAGAUGUUGGGUUAAGUCCCGCAACGAGCGCAACCCUCACUUUUAGUUGCCAUCAUUAAGUUGGGCACUCUGAAAGAACUGCCAGUGAUAAGCUGGAGGAAGGUGGGGAUGACGUCAAGUCCUCAUGGCCCUUACGGGUUGGGCUACACACGUGCUACAAUGGUAGUGACAAUGGGUUAAUCCCAAAAAGCUAUCUCAGUUCGGAUUGUCGUCUGCAACUCGACGGCAUGAAGUCGGAAUCGCUAGUAAUCG
rnacentral:rRNA from 1 species